UCUGCUGGCGCCGAACUGGUUUCUGCCAGGAGUCGAUUCUUAUGGCUUGAAGACAGAACCUGAAGAACUACAUUCCUGAUCACGUUUAAGGAAGAGAAGGAAACUCUCAAAGAUGUUUUCCAGAAGCUCAAACCACUGAGGGAACGUCAUCAGACGCAUCUGGUCAGCUAGCCUGAAACAAACGGGACGUUUGGAAAUUCAUACAAUAUUCAUUCCUUUUCAUAUUUCAUCAUUAAAUUCACAAACAAU